GAUGAACGCUGGCGGCAUGCCUAAUACAUGCAAGUCGAACGAGAGGAAGGAAAGCUUGCUUUUCUGAAUCUAGUGGCGAACGGGUGAGUAACACGUAGGUAACCUGCCCAUGUGCCCGGGAUAACUUCUGGAAACGGAUGCUAAAACCGGAUAGGUAGCAGAAAAGCAUUUGACUGCUAUUAAAGUGGCUAAGGCCAGGAACAUGGAUGGACCUGGGGUGCAUUAGCUAGUUGGUGAGGUAACGGCCCACCAAGGCGACGAUGCAUAGCCGGCCUGAGAGGGCGGACGGCCACAUUGGGACUGAGACACGGCCCAAACUCCUACGGGAGGCAGCAGUAGGGAAUUUUCGUCAAUGGGGGGAACCCUGAACGAGCAAUGCCGCGUGAGUGAGGAAGGUCUUCGGAUCGUAAAGCUCUGUUGUAAGAGGAAAACGACAUUCAUAGGGAAUGAUGAGUGAGUGAUGGUAUCUUACCAGAAAGUCACGGCUAACUACGUGCCAGCCGCCGCGGUAA
rnacentral:rRNA from 1 species